GUUAUACCUGGUCGGGAAAUCUCGCGUAAUUGAAGCUGAUUUUUAAGCGAAACUUAAACACUAAAAAAUAUCAGUCACGUGAUCAAAGUAAGUGCAAACUUUAAUUUAAAAUGGCUGAAAGUGAUAUAUAUUUUUGUAGUGAAGAUUUAGACUUUAUGUUUUUGGACAUAGAUCAGGAUCUUUUGGAUAAUGAUAUAGAAGUAGAUCUAAAUGAAGCAUUAAACGAGGUGACUACAUCUGCUGCAUUCUCAUGUCAAAAGUGCAAAAAGUGUUACAAGACAAAGGGUGGGUUAACAAGACAUAUCCGAACAAAACAUUCUGAUGGAAAACCUGAUACUAUCGAAGCAGAAAAUUUCUUAUCAGUUGAGACAAUAAAAACAUUAGUUAAUGAAUCUAUAAAUACUUUGCUAAGUGAAAAAUACUACCCAGACAUAAUAUUAAAUAAAAUAUCUCAAUAUAUCAAUGUAAUAAACGAUCUAUUAUACCAACAGUGCAACAAAAUUUACAAAAAGUUAGUGAAGACAGGAAAUGGUGAAAAUUUUUACAUGGAAACAUAUUCUUCACUUGUAUUAGAGUCUGAUAAAUAUUUUAAUGAUCUUAAAAAACCUUGCAGUACGCUUAUAUCAACAGCGUUAACUGAUAAAAUUUUGUAUUAUUACAAAACAUCUUUUUCAGAGAAUAAAUCAAUUGAACUGAAACCUAUAUCUGCAAAGGAAUUAGAUGGUCUACAAUACUUGGCUGGCUACAUUUUGUCAAAAUUUUUAAAGAAAGCUAAAAACAGUAAACACUAUCAAUCUGAAGAAACCCAAGCAAUUACUUCUAUUUUAAACCACUGUGUUCUUGAAAAAAAUUUGUCACAUGGACAAAGACUUAUUGAUGUUCAAAACAGAGGUGGACUGAUCUCACUGACAGAAGAGUGUCAGCAAAUAUUUAUUCUAACAGAAAUAAAAUUUCGGUCUGAAACUCUAAAUUCAAUGUUGAGAAAAGUUGACAUUGCAAAUAUGGCAUUUGAGCUAAUCACAAAUACAACUGUGCAAAGUUUUUAUAAUGCUAUUGUCGAGAACUCCUGCCAAUUUAAAAUUGAUAAAGAAGUUAAAACAAAUCUUUUAGAGAGUAUGGUAAAAUUAUACUUAAGAGUAAGAUCAUUUUCGAUGGCUAAAGAUGUUGUUCAAAGACAAAAAGCUAUGUCGAAAAAAACUAAAUCAAAAAGUGGGCUUCGAUCAAACAUUAAAAAAGGGUCUGAUAAGACUACAAUAAAGAAAUAGUGAGCAGGGGUGGAUAUAGGAUACAGGUAAGCCAACACCUCUGGCACAGUGUCAGCUUACCUGUAAGUUGCUUUAUGUAUAUUUAUGUUCUGUUUGUACCUCUGGCACAGUGUUAGCUCAAAUUGCUGUUAAUACUUCACAACAACAUUCUCACAAGUUAGGUUUAUUAUUUAUUAUUCAUUUAGUCAGGUGUUUUAAUUUUUAACAUAAAUUAAAAAACAUAUUUAUGUGCAAUCUGUGUUUUCAAUAAUAGUUUAUUCCAUUGUUUAGGGAGAGUUUCGGAUGUUAUAACUGAUUUUGGAGAGUUCUAGAAGUUGAGUAAUCUUAUACUCUAAGCAUUUUCUAAAAGCCAAGACGGAAUGUCGUUAAUUUUCAUACCAUUUACUAAAAGCUAUAUAAAUAUUGUUACAAUUUUAUAAUUCAAAUUAGUAAUUUCGAAAUUUUUUUACUGUACUGAUUUAUAUGUAAUAUUAUAUAUUAAUAAAUCAAUGAAGUUAUGAUUUUUUCGUAAUGUUAUUUCUACGCAUUUGUCCGAUAAAAACAAGUUUUCCUAAUGAAAAAAGCAUCUAGAAAUUUUUAUUUACAGAAAUUUUAUGAAAUAAAAUAAUUUUCUUAUGCAAACAUAAUCCGUACAAAAAUUUAGACAAAUUUAAAAAAAAAAAAAAAAAAAAGAAAAUCACUAGCUACAAGUUAAAUUAGAUGGAAAAAAUGGGAUGCUGUAUUUCAGAUUUUUUUUUAUAUAUUAUUUACAUAACCACUUAUUUUUAUAAUUUAAUUUUCAUUAAGAAAAUAAUAAUAUGGAAAACCGUCCGAACCACAUAAGUCUGAAAACAAUGACAUAAAAUGUGUGUGUUUUUUUUUAGGGUAGUUAUAAAAGCAACAUUGAAUAGUGAUUUUGUAAUCACCCUAAUAUAUGUGAACAAUUAUAUAAACAAAUUUCACGGUUGUUCACAUAGUAAAACUAGAUUUUGAGAAAAUCUUGUACAAAAAAUUUUUUAACAGGUGCCUAAAGACUCAUAAUUAUUUAACAGGUCACUAAUAUUUUUGAAAAUAAUAUUAGUGAUCAUACAAAAAUUCUAUGAGCACAAAGUUUGUUAUUUAUGAACACAAAGCUGUUAAAUAUUACUUUAUUCCGACUCACGAGCAAUAGUUAGAGGUUUGGAAUGGAGGUUUACUUAUGGAAUAAAGUAGCGAUGUUGCAACACAACCUAUUAGAAAAAAUUAGUUCAUUUUCAAAACUAUUUUUAUCCUUAAUAAAAUGAGAAAAACAAGUAUAAAAAAUGAAAACGAUGUUUUAUUAGCUUACAACAUACAUUCAUUGUGAGGGUGAGGCGCGGAAGAAGAUAUAGAGUUGUAUUAUAAUUACUCAAUGGAUGAAAGUAAUAUCAUAAAAUGC